rnacentral:rRNA from 1 species
UACGAAGGGGGCGAGCGUUGUUCGGAAUUACUGGGCGUAAAGGGCGCGCAGGCGGUCCUUCAAGUCAGAUGUGAAAGCCCCGGGCUCAACCUGGGAACAGCAUUUGAGACUGGAGGACUUGAGGACGGGAGAGGAGAGUGGAAUUCCCAGUGUAGAGGUGAAAUUCGUAGAUAUUGGGAAGAACACCGGUGGCGAAGGCGGCUCACUGGCCCGUAACUGACGCUCAUGCACGACAGCGUGGGGAUCAAACAGG